UACAGAGGGUGCGAGCGUUGUCCGGAAUCACUGGGCGUAAAGGGCGCGUAGGCGGCCUGAUAAGUAGGGGGUGAAAUCCUGUGGCUUAACUGCAGGGCUGCCUCCUAGACUGUUAGGCUCGAGCACGGUAGAGGCAGAUGGAAUUCCCGGUGUAGCGGUGGAAUGCGUAGAGAUCGGGAAGAACACCAGUGGCGAAAGCGGCUCUCUGGUCCAAAACUGACGCUGAGGGGCGAAAGCGUGGGGAGCAAACAGG
rnacentral:rRNA from 1 species